UUAAAGGGCUGCGGUAAUUUGACCGUGCAAAGGUAGCAUAAUCAGUAGUCUUUUAAUUGAAGGCUUGAAUGAACGGUUGGAUGAGAGAGAAGCUGUCUCUUUUAUAAAUUAAAAUUUGACUUUUAAGUGAAAAGGCUUAAAUUGCGUAAAGGGACGAUAAGACCCUAUAAAACUUUAUAAGAGAUUUAUUUUAUUUUUAAAUUCUUCUUUAAAAAUUGUGAAGUAAUUCUUUUAUUUUGUUGGGGCGACAUUGAUAUAAGCUGUAACUGUUUAAAUAAAAACUAUAAUUAUCAUUAUUGUUUGAUCCUUCUUUGUGGAUAAAAAGACUAAGUUACUUUAGGGAUAACAGCGUAAUUUUUUUUGAGAGUUCUUAUCGAAGAAAAUAGUUGCGACCUCGAUGUUGAAUUAAAAUUUCAGGCAAGUGUAGCCYCUUGCUAUGUGGGUCUGUUCGACCUUUAAAAUUUUACAUGAUUUGAGUUCAAACCGGUGUAAGCCA
rnacentral:rRNA from 1 species